rnacentral:rRNA from 1 species
AAAUUGAAGAGUUUGAUCAUGGCUCAGAUUGAACGCUGGCGGCAGGCCUAACACAUGCAAGUCGAACGGUAACAGGAAGCAGCUUGCUGUUUCGCUGACGAGUGGCGGACGGGUGAGUAAUGUCUGGGAAACUGCCUGAUGGAGGGGGAUAACUACUGGAAACGGUGGCUAAUACCGCAUAACGUCGCAAGACCAAAGAGGGGGACCUUCGGGCCUCUUGCCAUCAGAUGUGCCCAGAUGGGAUUAGCUAGUUGGUGAGGUAACGGCUCACCAAGGCGACGAUCCCUAGCUGGUCUGAGAGGAUGACCAGCCACACUGGAACUGAGACACGGUCCAGACUCCUACGGGAGGCAGCAGUGGGG